rnacentral:rRNA from 1 species
CUGGAGGUAUCAGAAGUGCGAAUGCUGACAUAAGUAACGAUAAAGCGGGUGAAAAGCCCGCUCGCCGGAAGACCAAGGGUUCCUGUCCAACGUUAAUCGGGGCAGGGUGAGUCGACCCCUAAGGCGAGGCCGAAAGGCGUAGUCGAUGGGAAACAGGUUAAUAUUCCUGUACUUGGUGUUACUGCGAAGGGGGGACGGAGAAGGCUAUGUUGGCCGGGCGACGGUUGUCCCGGUUUAAGCGUGUAGGCUGGUUUUCCAGGCAAAUCCGGAAAAUCAAGGCUGAGGCGUGAUGACGAGGCACUACGGUGCUGAAGCAACAAAUGCCCUGCUUCCAGGAAAAGCCUCUAAGCAUCAGGUAACAUCAAAUCGUACCCCAAACCGACACAGGUGGUCAGGUAGAGAAUACCAAGGCGCUUGAGAGAACUCGGGUGAAGGAACUAGGCAAAAUGGUGCCGUAACUUCGGGAGAAGGCACGCUGAUAUGUAGGUGAAGCGACUUGCUCGUGGAGCUGAAAUCAGUCGAAGAUACCAGCUGGCUGCAACUGUUUAUUAAAAACACAGCACUGUGCAAACACGAAAGUGGACGUAUACGGUGUGACGCCUGCCCGGUGCCGGAAGGUUAAUUGAUGGGGUUAGCGGUAACGCGAAGCUCUUGAUCGAAGCCCCGGUAAACGGCGGCCGUAACUAUAACGGUCCUAAGGUAGCGAAAUUCCUUGUCGGGUAAGUUCCGACCUGCACGAAUGGCGUAAUGAUGGCCAGGCUGUCUCCACCCGAGACUCAGUGAAAUUGAACUCGCUGUGAAGAUGCAGUGUACCCGCGGCAAGACGGAAAGACCCCGUGAACCUUUACUAUAGCUUGACACUGAACAUUGAGCCUUGAUGUGUAGGAUAGGUGGGAGGCUUUGAAGUGUGGACGCCAGUCUGCAUGGAGCCGACCUUGAAAUACCACCCUUUAAUGUUUGAUGUUCUAACGUUGGCCCGUUAUCCGGGUUGCGGACAGUGUCUGGUGGGUAGUUUGACUGGGGCGGUCUCCUCCUAAAGAGUAACGGAGGAGCACGAAGGUUGGCUAAUCCUGGUCGGACAUCAGGAGGUUAGUGCAAUGGCAUAAGCCAGCUUGACUGCGAGCGUGACGGCGCGAGCAGGUGCGAAAGCAGGUCAUAGUGAUCCGGUGGUUCUGAAUGGAAGGGCCAUCGCUCAACGGAUAAAAGGUACUCCGGGGAUAACAGGCUGAUACCGCCCAAGAGUUCAUAUCGACGGCGGUGUUUGGCACCUCGAUGUCGGCUCAUCACAUCCUGGGGCUGAAGUAGGUCCCAAGGGUAUGGCUGUUCGCCAUUUAAAGUGGUACGCGAGCUGGGUUUAGAACGUCGUGAGACAGUUCGGUCCCUAUCUGCCGUGGGCGCUGGAGAACUGAGGGGGGCUGCUCCUAGUACGAGAGGACCGGAGUGGACGCAUCACUGGUGUUCGGGUUGUCAUGCCAAUGGCACUGCCCGGUAGCUAAAUGCGGAAGAGAUAAGUGCUGAAAGCAUCUAAGC